GAUGAACGCUGGCGGCGUGCCUAAUACAUGCAAGUCGAGCGAACGGACGAGGAGCUUGCUUUUUUGAUGUUAGCGGCGGACGGGUGAGUAACACGUGGAAAACCCACCUAUAAGACUGGGAUCACUUCGGGAAACCGGAGCAUAUACCGGAUAAUAUUUUGAUCCGCAUGGUUCAAAAGAGAAAGACGGUCUUGCUGUCACUUAUAGAUGGAUCUGCGCUGCAUUAGCUAGUUGGUACGUUAACGGCUUACCAAGGCAACGAUGCAUAGCCGACGUGUGAGAGGGAUAGGCCACCCUAGAGCUUGGACGGCGUCCAGACUCCUACGGGAGGCACCAGUAGGGAAUCGUCGGCAAUAGUCGGAAACCUUACGGAGCGACGCCGCGUGUGUGAUGAAGGUGUUCGGAUCGUAAAACUCUGUUAUUAGUGAAGAACAUAUGUGUAAGUAGCUGUACAGAUCGUGACGGUACCUAGUCAAAAAGCCACGGCUAACUACGUG
rnacentral:rRNA from 1 species